CCAAUAGCAUGACAUUGUAAAUAAGUUCAAAUAU
rnacentral:sRNA from 1 species